UACAAGUUAACCGAGUGAGGAAUCAAUAGUUAAUAGGUGUGAUAGAUAUCUUGCCUUUUUAAAUAACAGGCGAGAUCCGUUGAGAAGAUAAAUCAAGCUAUGUUGUGUUGUGUCCAUGUUUUGGCUGGACCUAAGUCAGCUCAAAAUCAUCAACUUGAUCCCUUUGCCCAAGGGAUCUUGCCCGACCAACAAUCUUCUUAGGUUUCUUCUUUCUAUUGAAUAUAUAUUAUUUGGUAUAUAGUCAUUAUACUUUUGGCAAUUAGGAAACAAUAAUUGUUCUAGUGAAUUAACUAGUUCCUUAUAUGUAUUGGAGAUCACAUGGGGAAUUUGAAACAAGAAAAUAAUAUAGGAAAUGGUAAAGACAAAGAUAUAUUUUGGAUCAUGAAUGAAAAGAUUGACUUGUUCAACCUCUUGGUGGAUGUUAUAAACAAGAGGUUGUGUGAUGUCAAUGGGUCCCUUAGCAAACAAAAUAUAGAACGAAUCAU
rnacentral:lncRNA from 1 species